rnacentral:rRNA from 1 species
GCAAGUCGAACGGUAGCACAGAGGAGCUUGCUCCUUGGGUGACGAGUGGCGGACGGGUGAGUAAUGUCUGGGAAACUGCCCGAUGGAGGGGGAUAACUACUGGAAACGGUAGCUAAUACCGCAUAACGUCGCAAGACCAAAGAGGGGGACCUUCGGGCCUCUUGCCAUCGGAUGUGCCCAGAUGGGAUUAGCUAGUAGGUGGGGUAACGGCUCACCUAGGCGACGAUCCCUAGCUGGUCUGAGAGGAUGACCAGCCACACUGGAACUGAGACACGGUCCAGACUCCUACGGGAGGCAGCAGUGGGGAAUAUUGCACAAUGGGCGCAAGCGUGAUGCAGCCAUGCCGGUAUGAGAAGGCCUUCGGGUUGUAAAGUACUUUCAGCGAGGAGGAAGGCAUUAAGGUUAAUAACCUUAAUGAUUGACGUUACUCGCAGAAGAAGCACCGGCUAACUCCGUGCCAGCAGCCGCGGUAAUACGGAGGGUGCAAGCGUUAAUCGGAAUUACUGGGCGUAAAGCGCACGCAGGCGGUCUGUCAAGUCGGAUGUGAAAUCCCCGGGCUCAACCUGGGAACUGCAUCCGAAACUGGCAGGCUAGAG